CAAGGAACCCUGACUGCUCACCAUUUCCUUUCCAUAACGAGUUGACCCCCUCCUCCUGGGAGCAAACCUUUAGCCGGUCCUCCAUGGAGACCCCCCCAGGACUGGCACGAGACAUGCAAAUUGACCCCCACCCCUGACACACCUGCGUCGCCUCCAGCACGCGAUCUGUCCGGUACCUCCCCUCGGGCAACUUCUCCCCCAAGCUGGCUGGGAGCUGGGACGGGGACGGGCAGGGUCCAGUCGCCAAUCUGGUUUUCUCCCAUUGCUGCAUGAUAGAGGGGUUUGGUGCCAUGAUACCACUUUUAAAAAUCCUGUUGAAUGCAAGUCCUCUUUGUUGCUCAUUGAACAAUGAGGAUAUUUAGCUCCCCUCAGAGCUACCCUCAGAGUUGGAUGAGCUAUCCUCAGAGUUGGAUGCCACCACCAGGAGCAGCAAAAGCGAAGGCAAUCAUGAUUCUGCCUCAGAAGCAAUCGAAUAAAAUAUUUUGAAAAUGAG
rnacentral:antisense_RNA from 1 species